rnacentral:lncRNA from 1 species
AGGAAAAUACGUCAUUAGAGAAGCUCUCAAAUUCCUCAACGUUCCCUCUUCCCCAUUGAAAAGCUUAGCUAUAGCAGGCCGGAACAGUUCCAAACUUUCCCAUGCACUCCAAUGGGCCUCCCGUUCAAAUCCACAACCCCAAAUUCCCAUCCUCACCGCCGACACAACCGACCCAUCUUCUCUCCGCCACCUCGCUUCUCAGGCUAAGCUCAUCUUCAAUUGUGUCGGCCCGUUUCGUCUUUACGGUGGGCUCUCCAAUGGGCCGCCCGUCCAAACCCACCGCCCCAAAUUCCAAUCCUCACCGCCGACACCACCGACCUAUCUUCUCUCCGCCACCUCGCUUCUCAGGCUAAGAUCAUUCUUAAUUGUGUCGGCCCGUUUCGAUUGUACGGUGAGCCCGUCGUUGAGGCCUGUGCUGAUUCCGGUUGCGAUUACUUGGAUAUUUGUGGGGAGCCCGAGUUUAUGGAGAGGAUGGAAGUGAAGUACCAUGAUAAGGCUGUGGAUAUGGGAUCGUUGAUUGUUUCGGCUUGUGGGUUUGAUUCUGUGCCUGCUGAUUUGGGCUUGAUGUUCAAUUCGAGACAGUAUAUGCCGCCGGCUGUUCCUAAUCAGGUUGAGGCCUACCUUAGUCUGGAAUCGGAGAAGAGAGUUUGGCUCUUUGAUUGUUUCGGCUUGUGGGUUUGAUUCUGUGCCUGCUGAAUUAGGCUUGAUGUUCAAUUCGAGACAAUGGCUGCCGCCGGCUGUUCCUAAUCAGGUUGAAGCCUACCUUAGUCUGGAGUCGGACAAGAGAAUUGUUGGAAACUUCGCGACGUAUGAGUCAGCAGUGCUUGGUGUGGCUAACGCGGACAAAUUACAGGAGCUCAGGCGCUCCAGACCCAAGAGGGCUCGUCCUGUG